rnacentral:lncRNA from 1 species
AUGGAAGCAGCUCAUUGCAAACUUAUUUCUUUAGUCUAUGUGCAUUAUACCCUGCGACUAUCCAGACUGUGCAGAUCACAGCCAGUUAUUUUACAACAACCCUCUCAACCAGGGGACUCCCACACCUGCUGGCGCUUGGUCCACCUGAGCGCUCAACUCGAGAAUCUCACCAGGUUUCAGGAGGUCAGGAGGUGUGGGCCGAGUCUGCUCCAGCUGUGGCGCCAGAGGAGGGAAGCUGUCCGCGCAGCUCUGACAGGUGUCACUUCAUCUCGAGUGACGCGAGUUUCAGAGCUCCGCAACCCACGGUCAGUAAUCUCCCUGCCUAUAAAAAGAGCCGUCAGCAAGGUUUCAAGAAACACCUACAAUUACUCAUCGCCGUGUUGCAACAGCUGCUGUAACUGUAAUGUGUCUGUAUUUGUUUUAUUGUUCACAUUCCAACACUUCCAGACUUGCGUACCGUCCACAGAGCUCACUUUCAAGGUGUCAGAUUUCUUUGGCACAAGGGGAGUCUUUGAGGGUGUCAUCUGUUGGGUUACACGCAGGUCCUGUGUUCACACCCACUACAGAUACUUCAGUCCCACAAACACUGUAAAUACAGCACUGUGUAUCAGUCACAACAGAAUGUGUCAGCGUCUCUUGGGAGGCUCAACCAGAAAUGGCACUAAGUAGCCUGCAGUCCACAUUACAGCUCGAACCCGGGCCCUGAACUGUGGCCAGUCGUACCCUGGGCAGAUUAUCCGUCCAUCAAAACAAACUCGUCCUGAGCCUCCGUCGAAGCGGACCGCGGACCUUUCCACGCAAAGAGGUGGCAGUAACCAAAUGAACGAAGAAUCUCAUCCAGCUGUUCAGGGAAAACAGAAUGAGAUACAAACCGAUCGACGGGCCUGAUGGGCCUGUGACCUCCUCUCGCUUGUAGCUGUGCUCUCGUUAAAGUGACCGAGACAGGCACGGUCACAGCCGGUCUGUUCUUCAGGCACGGUCACAGCCGGUCUGUUCUUCAGGCACGGUCACAGUCGGUCUGUUCUACAGGCACGGUCACAGCCGGUCUGUUCUACAGGCACGGUCACAGCCGGUCUGUUCUUCAGGCACGGUCACAGCCGGUCUGUUCUACAGGCACGGUCACAGCCGGUCUGUUCUACAGGCACGGUCACAGUCGGUCUGUUCUACAGGCACGGUCACAGUCGGUCUGUUCUACAGGCACAGUCACAGUCGGUCUGUUCUACAGGCACGGUCAGCCUUCCGGCCACGUGAUGGCAGGGAUUCUGCUGGAGAUCCCAGAGAGAAUGCCGGCUUCCCGCGGGCCCGAAGAAAAGCACGGACAGGUCCGUAUGGGGCGCUCCAGAGCGCCACGGGCUUGGAGGAACGCGCAAGAAAUGGAAACCCUCUCCCGGCGCCUGCAGACAGGCGCGGCUGCCAGCAGGGGUGUUGGGGGUCACUCCUGCCCUCAGGGCAGCAAUCAGCUCCAAGAACAUCAACACCGCUAAUGAUGGGAAUGAAAAGUUCUGUUUGGAUGGGGGGGUUGUACCAUGACGAUGAAGAUUUUAAGUCUUGAAUUUAAAUUCUGUAAUUUAAUCGGUUGGUAACCGAUUGAUGCUCAUUACGUUUUCAUGUGUUGUUACAACACCAUUCAU